GUUAGCUCAGUUGGUUAGAGCGUGGUGCUAAUAACGCCAAGGUCGCGGGUUCGAUCCCCGUACGGGCCAAAGUAGUCCUUUUGAGCCCGUCUCCCUUUUGGGGGCUGCUGGUGCUGUUUCUCCCCCGCCCUCUUUGUGCCGAUCAGCGGAAGGGAGAGGUAAAACCGCCCUUUUGGUGCCGCCUGGACCUUGUCGUGGUCACCCACGGAGCAGAGCAGGUGGCGGAUGGUAACACGGAAGUGAACGCGGUGGCCCCCGGCGGGAAGCUUGACUUGGGCGAUCAGACGGCGACAGCGACCUUGAGCCGACGCGGGACAUGUCCCCACGCCGCCCGGGCGCAGGGACAGCCGUCACCCGCAGCUCCGGAACCCGCGACAGACGUUCCUCGACGAGGUUUGUGCCGGGAGUCAAAAGAACAAUCAUUCCGGGGCUGGGAACAGUGUGAAGUGCUAUUUAGAGACCCUCGGGGCAAUGGGCAACAUGCUUCCUGAUCCAUCUCUGACCUCCUCGGCAAAGGAGCUGAUCUGAGGCAGGGGUGUUAUCCUGUCGUGACCACAGCUGAAAUGCUCAAUGCUGAGAUUUUCUCCUCAAAUGGACAGCCAGCCUUCCCCUCAGGUAACACGGUGCCCCAACCCGGAUUCUCCCAGCUACUCAUCGGCCAAGUCGUGCUACUGCAGCAUCCAAAUACAUGUGAUUAAGUACCA